rnacentral:pre_miRNA from 11 species
GUGUGGACGGCAGCGCCAUUUUCAGAGCUAUAAGUGUGAAGUGGUCAUAGCUCUUUAAAUGGUACUGCCGUGUGCAC